rnacentral:lncRNA from 1 species
GGAAAGUCAAAAACAGAUUCCAGGCAUGCGUUUGCCAUUUAAAGACUGCGUUAUACACUACGGAGUUAUUAGAUUAAGUCAAAUGUCAACAACCACUGGCCCCGACCUGGGGGCUGCCGAAGUCAUAGAGAUUGACUGUGUUUCUGCUCAGAAGAAGGGUUUUUGAUAAUUGAUUCCACAAUGUCCGUAAACGUGGUUGAAGUUGAACAUAGCCACAUCGCUGCAGUUAUCGUUGUGCGGUGCCAUUUUUAGAUGCACGCCCGCAUCUAGAUACUUUAGCCCUCUCGCCUUUCUUAUUCCUUUUGAUUUUUUUAUUUUGAAUUCAUAUUGUUUGGACGAUUACUGGAUUAAUGCACAGUCAGCAUAGACUUGUCCGUGAGGCAUGCAGACAUGCCGGACGGGUAUGUGGAGUAGGCAUGCAGACAUGUCACUGCUCCGCAACGGACAUUAUUAUUCAGUGUUUCAGGGCUUCCCGGGCCCUUACCCCAUGUAACAUACGAGUGGCAAUUUCUGAGCAUCCCAGAGCAAUCCGUCAGCCAACAACACUAUGGGGGUGGUACACAAUAGGGCUGCUCAGGCCUGGGGUCUCAGGGUUCAAAGAGAGGCGGGCUGCUUGAAGGGGGCAGGGUGAACACCGUCAAGGGUGUGGGCACACAAUAGUUGAUCGCUUGGCCCCCGCCACCCCCAGUAAUACGUUUAGGUGGCUCUACCUUCGAGCACGAUUGGAAUCCACCUGAUUCUAGAUCCCACCGGACGGAACCGCACUUCCACAAGCUGGUUUCAGACUGUCCAUGUUAUCGCCACACUGAGAAGAGCUAAAAAACAUCGUUACAUAUUCAUUUUAUAGUUUUCGCAGCUUUCCGCAGUUUCCGCAGCCUUUCCGCAAAGGGCCUCCC